rnacentral:sRNA from 1 species
CAACAUUAUUACUUGCACUCACUACUACUAGUACCCCAAGAACAAUCAAGCCGACAAGAAGAUUGAGAAGGGCAAACUUGGGGCAGCAGCCUGAAUCAGGCGAUGUGAGGGUUGUCAGCUACUUUUCAGGAGUUCAUAGCCAGCUUCGCAUCUUUGAUCGCAAUAAGCACCGUACAGGACCCGAUCCAUUCGACCUCCCCAAUGCCCUCAGACGUCACGUAAUCUAAUCUCAGCACUCACGACUUGCUCCGCGAAGUGGUCAGCAAACAUAGCGCAAACAUCGCGCCCGGCAUAUCUGGCCAAACUCCCCGCCUCAUGAGAGCGGCUUGCAGAAGUGACCAGUUCUGCAGAUUCCUUAACGGAGAAUGAGCUGCGCCAUCAUUGACGCACCUCUUCCCGGAAAAGGAACACUCUUAGCUUCGAAGCUCGUCCCCUUCCACAAACCGGACCGCUCAAUAGGCUCUAUCAUCAUGGACAGCCUCAUACACCAGAGUCUGCGCAAAGGAUGACCUUCAAGCGGGAAUCCCUCCUCCUUUUCUAGAUGGGAUUUAUUUCGGCAAGGGGAGUCGAAUCAAUCAUCAGAGUAUUCGAAAGGGCUCUAGAGGGCUCAUUGGAUGAUUCAUUACACCCAUCAAUACUCUCCUGACGCAUUCAUUGCCUUCAGCCAGAUCGACAGGAGAGAAAUGGCGAUUGCAGCGCCCAAGCGGCAUCCCGAAACUAUACUAAGUAAUAAAAUGGUUUUGCAGCAACCCCACAACGUUGUUCUGUGAUGGGCAUGUUCUAACCUCUUAGCCUACGUCCCAAACCGAACUCUCCUUUCACCUGGAACCUCACCGCCGAAUAACAGCACCCGUCGAUGACGUCUCCAUCCCCUCUCCAGAAGAGGAAGCGCUAAAUGAAGUCAAAUUAUUCUUAGCAUUUAAGAGUAAUGAGCUCAAGUUCAAAGAAGCAAAGUGCUCCAUCCCAUGGACCUUAAGGACAUCGAAGGGAAUGGAUGCUUGAUACCAAUGUCGGUAGUAUGGUAAGACGCAGAGCUUGUUUGCGACAAGGUCAAGAAAGAAGUCAAAAUCCAUGUUUCACUCCCUUACAUCCCAAUAUGCACUCCUUCUCCGCACAUGUCUAUCCCAAGAUCUAUUACACCCCCUCCGUCGAUUGCUCCAUACAGACAACAUGGAAGAAUAAAUCAUACUAGACAACGCCUUCUAAUAAGGAAUCAGUCGCCUUUGCAUGACCAGCUACGCAGUGCUGCCCAAUUUGGAAGAUAGAAGUUGCUGCUCUCUCGUCAUCCUCUUUGCCCAUUACAGAGGAUCAGGUCUCUCACACUAAUACAUCAUCGUUGCUGCCGCCAGAGCUGCUGCCAACAACUAAUCCACGUCCUUGAAAGUUGUCACGAAUGGAGAGUUGAUGGAAGAGAAAACUUAAGGGAAGUUAAAGGAAUGGAAUCGAAAG